AUGAUGUAUAAAUAUGAAUUUAAAGCAAAGGUCAAAAUCUAGAACGUCCAAUUAACCUAUGACCUUGACCUCAAUUUCAAGGUCAUAGACUAAACAUCUCAAAUCAAAAGACACUAGUUCCUUAAUAUGUAUGGUUCAUGAGUAAUAUCACUUUACGCAUAAUUCUAAAUAUAAGAGGGGCGAAAACUCCCAUUUAUUGUCUACACACCCUUGCAACCAAAAUUUAUAAGUUACGACAUGUCGCAACUAACAAUUUAGUAAAAAUAAUUUGUCGAUAUCUUAUAAGGUUAAUGAAAAUAAGUGAAAAUAAGCCAAAAUCAAAAUUUAGAAUUUGACCUUGACCUUUGACCUUGACCUAAUUUUCAUUUUUUUGGACCAAGGAUCUUAAAUCAAAAGACCCUAGGUCUCUAUCACUUAUGGUUUACCAGUUAGAAAUGCAUAUCACUUAUAUCAUAUAUAAAAGGGGGAUAACUCUCAUAUGGAGUCUCCGGAUAGCUUCGGUCAAAAUGAAACAGAACAUCCUGAGGAUAUAACGAGCAAUUUGGAAAAAUAAAUUUGUCGGUUUCUUAUACGGUUGCGAAGGAGUAGUAGCCACAAGAAAAAACAGUGUUCGGGGAGAUAACUCUUACAAGGUAAAGUUUUUUGUUACGCGGUGUCAGUUUCAGAAGCGUAUUAACUGUUCGAUAUCAUAUACCAUAUAUCUAAGCGACAUCUUGCGAAACAAAAAAAACAGCGAAGGAAAAAAAAGUUGGCGGAAGAAAAAAAAAAAAAAUAAUAAAUAAUAAUAAAAACCAAUUGUUCAAAGAACAAUUGAAGGUCUUUCAACCAAUAAAGAUCUAUUUUGAUAUGAAAAUAUUAAAAUUCAGUUGAAAAUGUCAGUUCCUAUGGCUU
rnacentral:lncRNA from 1 species